rnacentral:rRNA from 1 species
UGAGGGUUGAUAGGUUAAGAGCUAGUUAACUGGACGUUACCCACAGAAGAAGCACCGGCUAACUCCGUGCCAGCAGCCGCGGUAAUACGGAGGGUGCGAGCGUUAAUCGGAAUUACUGGGCGUAAAGGGUGCGUAGGUGGUUUAAUAAGUUAGCUGUGAAAUCCCUGGGCUUAACCUGGGCAGGUCAGCUAAGACUGUUAGACUAGAGUAUAGGAGAGGGUAGUGGAAUUUCCGGUGUAGCGGUGAAAUGCGUAGAGAUCGGAAGGAACACCAGUGGCGAAGGCGUCUACCUGGCCGGAUACUGACACUGAGGCACGAAAGCGUGGGGAGCAAACAGGAUUAGAUACCCUGGUAGUCCACGCUGUAAACGAUGUCAACUAGCUGUUGGUCAUAUUAAUGUGAUUAGUGGCGCAGCAAACGCGAUAAGUUGACC